GCAGUGGAUUUGGCCCAUGGGCUGUAGUUUGCUGACGCUUACUCUGGAAUACCACAUACAGAAAACUCUGCACUGUCAAGAAAUAUGAAGUCUGCAUGGUCUCAGAGAACAUCUAGCUCAACUGGCAUAACACAGUUUAUAAAGAAAAUGUUCUACAUUCUACCUUGAGUUCUAGCACAGGGGCUGACCUUUCUGCAGACGGAAGAGGGCAAAACCCAGGAGGACGAGUGAAGUGGAAAGAGAUCUGGGCUGAAGAUUAAGAUUUUAGUCCUGGUUCUACUACGACCCCCUAUACGCAAACUUCCUUUCCUCCCCAAAUCUGUUUCUUCAGCUGUAAAAUGAGAAGAGGACAGGAUUUCUGUGGGUCCUGGGAACUCUAAUGAGCUCUUCCCCUGCCUGGUCUGUCCUUUUGCUUUCUUCAAAUAGCUGCUCCUGUUGCUUCUGUUUCAUUCAGGCUUCCCCUGAUAACCCUAUCCAAGCAGCCCCCUGCCUUCUCCCGUGAGUUAUUCUCUCUUUUGGCAGCCUAUUUAUUUCCUCUAUAAUGCUUACCACAAUUUGUACUUAGCGUGUGUUCGCUUAGCUGCUUAUUGCCUAGCUCCACUACAGUGUAAGCAAGCUUCAUGAAGGCAUGGGAGAGUACCUCUCUUGUGUUCUUAUUGUUUCUCCAGAACGUGUGGGCUCAAACAUUUCUUGAAUGAAAGAACAAUGAAUGCAAAAAUGAGAAGCCCUGCACCUGUGUCUUCUUCAGAAGAUUUUCCUCAAAGGUGCUACACUGUGGACCUGUAAUUCUAGGCACCCUGUGGGAGCCAAGAAUAAAGAAAGACGCUGGCAUAAGAAAUGGUGCAGGUGCCUGGACCCUCAAGCUCCUCUAAAGCUACUUUCAGGAAAAGGAUCUGGUAAGCUCAGGCACACUGGCGAAUGAGAAGAGGCAGUAUAUUUUUCACACCAAACAAUAAACCAAUUUUUGUGACACUUCCUGUAGGACCAGCUACUUAAUUUACAGGGCUCAGUAGAAAAUGAAAAUGUGGUCUCCUUAUUCCAAAAUUAUUACAGUUUUCAAGAUGGUGGCAGCAGAGCAUUAGACCAAGUACAG